rnacentral:misc_RNA from 1 species
GUUCUGUACAGGAUUGACGACAGCUGGGUUGUACUCUGUUCUAAAGCAAAAUUUACGCAAAAUAAAUGUGGUUUUUGUCUGAGCUUAAGGGAAAUAAAGUUGCCAAAACACCAAUUGCGAAAGUGAUUUGAAUUUAAAAUUCGGGGUCUAAUUUAGAAAUGAUAAUUGCUUGCAUUGUUGGACCCUAACAUACAUGAGCAUGUAUUUUUAUAAAUUGAUGAUAGGGGAGAGGAAAUAUUGGUAAUAGAGUAUACUAAGACUGAGAUUUGAAGGUAAAAAGAUGAAUUCAUACAUAGGGUGGUAUUGUAAAAACAUGCAUGAAUCAGUGGAAGAAGAAAAUUAUAUUGA